rnacentral:rRNA from 2 species
UUAGAUCGUACCCACAUUUACUUGGAUAACUGUGGUAAUUCUAGAGCUAAUACAUGCAAACAGAGCUCCGACCGGAGACGGAAGGAGCGCUUUUAUUAGAUCAAAACCGAUCGGUGGUGGAUUUAUCCAUCAUCGCCCAAUUUGGUGAAUCUGAAUAACUUUAAGCUGAUCGCACGGUCUAGCACCGGCGACGCAUCUUUCAAAUGUCUGCCUUAUCAACUGUCGAUGGUAGGUUCUGCGCCUACCAUGGUUGUAACGGGUAACGGGGAAUCAGGGUUCGAUUCCGGAGAGGGAGCCUGAGAAACGGCUACCACAUCCAAGGAAGGCAGCAGGCGCGCAAAUUACCCACUCCCGGCACGGGGAGGUAGUGACGAAAAAUAACGAUACGGGACUCAUCCGAGGCCCCGUAAUCGGAAUGAGUACACUCUAAACCCUUUAACGAGGAUCAAUUGGAGGGCAAGUCUGGUGCCAGCAGCCGCGGUAAUUCCAGUUCCAAUAGCGUAUAUUAAAGUUGUUGCGGUUAAAAAGCUCGUAGUCGAAUUUGUGUCUCGCACCGCCGGUUCAUCGUUCGCGGUGUUAACUGGCGUGCCGUGGGACGUCCUGCCGGUGGGCUUAGCCCGUGAGGGCGGCCCAAAUCAAUCCUGCCACGGUGCUCUUCAUUGAGUGUCGAGGUGGGCCGGCACGUUUACUUUGAACAAAUUAGAGUGCUUAAAGCAGGCUAAAAUUUCGCCUGAAUACUAUGUGCAUGGAAUAAUGGAAUAGGACCUCGGUUCUAUUUUGUUGGUUUUCGGAACCCCGAGGUAAUGAUUAAUAGGAACGGAUGGGGGCAUUC